UACGGAGGAUGCGAGCGUUAUCCGGAUUUAUUGGGUUUAAAGGGUGCGUAGGCGGAUUUUUAAGUCAGCGGUAAAAUGUCCGGGCUCAACCCGGGCCGGCCGUUGAAACUGGGGAUCUUGAGUGGGCGAGAAGUAUGCGGAAUGCGUGGUGUAGCGGUGAAAUGCAUAGAUAUCACGCAGAACUCCGAUUGCGAAGGCAGCAUACUGGCGCCCGACUGACGCUGAGGCACGAAAGCGUGGGGAUCGAACAGG
rnacentral:rRNA from 1 species